AAGGCAAAAUUAGCUCAAGGAUUUUUUCCAUGAGCAAGAAAGCAAUGAACAUAACGACUUAUAAGAAGAAAGUUCAAAUCACAGAGUCCUAUAAGUGCAAAGUUAGAGAAUUUUGACAU
rnacentral:miRNA from 1 species